GUGCUCACUUCGGCAGCACAUAUACUAAAAUUGGAAUGAUACAGAGAAGACUAGCAUGGACCCUGCAGAAGUAUGACACAAAUAAAAAGUAGCUCAAAUCUUCCUUU